rnacentral:rRNA from 1 species
ACGGCCGUACCACGCUGAAUAUACCGGUUCUCGUUAGAUCACCGAAGUCAAGCAUCAUUGGGCGCGGUCAGUACUUGGGUGGGUGACCACCUGGGAACACCGCGUGCCGUU